rnacentral:rRNA from 1 species
CCCUUAGACGUUCUGGGCCGCACGCGCGCUACACUGACCAGUGCAACAAGCAUCCGUCCUUGGCCGACAGGCCCGGGCAAUCUUUGAACGCUGGUCGUGAUGGGGAUAGACUUUUGCAAUUUUUGGUCUUCAACGAGGAAUUCCUAGUAAACGCAAGUCAUCAACUUGCAUUGAUUACGUCCCUGCCCUUUGUACACACCGCCCGUCGCACCUACCGAUUGAAUGGUCCGGUGAAGCCUCCGGAUUGGCGCGCACCUCGGUGCCGCCGAGAAGUUGGCUAAACCUUACCAUCUAGAGGAAGGUGAAGUCGUANCA